AAGGUGGAUGACGUAAUUCAGUUUCAUUGGCUCAUUGGUGUAUGAUUGUCACCCACCAUAGCCUAUUGGAAGUGGCGCUGAUGGUAUUUUAAGGCUGGAGUUAGAUCACCUGGUGUGCGUCACGACUAGGACCGCCCAUACUGAGUGCGCUGGUGUAGACGUGCGUUUUAUGCUUGGUUGGGUCACAGACUGUCCACUGCAUGUCAGCCUUGAAAUCAGUGAAAAGUCUUCCUGCAUGUUAAUUCGUUAUGAGCUGUGAGCGACUAUACACUUCGUGUGGCACGAGGAAUUGCUUUGGUGCGUUGAGCUGUCUCUCUCGUCGCGUUUCUUGAAGGCGGAAGUGUUUAUACCCGUCGUUAAAGGAGGACGCGCUGCUGUUUUUCCUGCUGUUUUUUUGUACUGUGUUUCGUUUUCUUUUUGUUUUCGUAGUUGAAUGUCAACUGGUGUCCAGCCGAACUUCAGUUGUGCUUCUGUUUGCUGCUUAAUUGCCAAAUAUACUAACGGCUCCGAGUUGCUCUACUACUAUUAAAGGGCUGGUUUACAUCUGGGGCAUCAUUAAUGUCAUCGCUUGUGCCCUGAUAAGUGUUUCCACGCUAUUGUAGGGGAACUCUGACUCUAGGACCUGCUACAGCACUGCCGGCCCGAGGCUGGGAGGCUAGCUAGCUUGGAGUACGGGUGGUGGUGCAAUUGUGUGGAGUGCAGUGCUGCUUGGAUUCACCUUUCACUGUGUGUGUGUGUGUGUGUAUGUGUGUGUGUGUGUGUGUGUGUUCCACGAAUUCACAGAUAGGGUCUUCACUCCAUCUAGCCUGCCCCUGCCGCUGGAAAGCCUGUGUCUUUUAUUAUUUCUUUUUUUUUUUUGUUUAUUUUUUUGUUGUGAGUAUUUUCAAAUUGAUAUCUUUAGUUUGUCCAGUACACAGAGCUUCUGAUUGUGACAGUGUUUGAUUGUGACCUGACAUUUGACAUUGAUUAUCAUUGAACAUUUUAACUAUUUAUGGUGAUUUGAAUAAAGUCUUUUGUACAUUG